rnacentral:rRNA from 1 species
UAGGGGGCGUAGCAAUACGUCACCGGCGGACGGGUGCGUAACACGUGGGAAUGUACCUUUUGGUUCGGAACAACGCAGGGAAACUUGCGCUAAUACCGAAUGUGCCCUUACGGGGAAAGAUUUAUCGCCAAAGGAUCAGCCCGCGUCCGAUUAGCUAGUUGGUGGGGUAAAAGCCCACCAAGGCGACGAUCGGUAGCUGUUCUGAGAGGAAGAUCAGCCACACUGGGACUGAGACACGGCCCAGACUCCUACGGGAGGCAGCAGUUGGGAAUCUUGGACAAUGGGGGAAACCCUGAUCCAGCCAUGCCGCGUGAGUGAUGAAGGCCUUCGGGUUGUAAAACUCUUUCGACGGGGACGAUAAUGACGGUACCCGUAGAAGAAGCUCCGGCUAACUUCGUG